rnacentral:ncRNA from 1 species
GGUCCAGAUGUGUUUCUGCUCCCGCAGUUCCACUUCAGGUCUUACCCUGCCAUCUUCAAGAAGUUCUUCCAUCUCCUCCCAGCCCAUCGAAAGGGAGUCGGGUUCAGAUCCCCGAAUCCGGAGUGGCGGAGACAGUGCGGUAACGCGACUGAACCCAGAGAAGCCGGCAGCAGCCCUGGGGAGAGUUCUCUUUUCUUUGUGAAGGGCAGGGCGCCCUGGAAUGGGUUUGGCCCCAAGCAAGGGGCCCCAUGCCUUGGAAAGCGGCCAGUGGGCUCUCGCUGGCCCUUGAAAAUCCAGAGGGGGGUGUGUAAAUCUAGAACCGAUCC